rnacentral:rRNA from 1 species
CAGUGUCUGGUGGGUAGUUUGACUGGGGCGGUCUCCUCCUAAAGAGUAACGGAGGAGCACGAAGGUUGGCUAAUCCUGGUCGGACAUCAGGAGGUUAGUGCAAUGGCAUAAGCCAGCUUGACUGCGAGCGUGACGGCGCGAGCAGGUGCGAAAGCAGGUCAUAGUGAUCCGGUGGUUCUGAAUGGAAGGGCCAUCGCUCAACGGAUAAAAGGUACUCCGGGGAUAACAGGCUGAUACCGCCCAAGAGUUCAUAUCGACGGCGGUGUUUGGCACCUCGAUGUCGGCUCAUCACAUCCUGGGGCUGAAGUAGGUCCCAAGGGUAUGGCUGUUCGCCAUUUAAAGUGGUACGCGAGCUGGGUUUAGAACGUCGUGAGACAGUUCGGUCCCUAUCUGCCGUGGGCGCUGGAGAACUGAGGGGGGCUGCUCCUAGUACGAGAGGACCGGAGUGGACGCAUCACUGGUGUUCGGGUUGUCAUGCCAAUGGCACUGCCCGGUAGCUAAAUGCGGAAGAGAUAAGUGCUGAAAGCAUCUAAGCACGAAACUUGCCCCGAGAUGAGUUCUCCCUGACCCUUUAAGGGUCCUGAAGGAACGUUGAAGACGACGACGUUGAUAGGCCGGGUGUGUAAGCGCAGCGAUGCGUUGAGCUAACCGGUACUAAUGAACCGUGAGGCUUAACCUUACAACGCCGAAGGUGUUU